rnacentral:rRNA from 1 species
AACGAACGUUGGCGGCGUGGAUUAGGCAUGCAAGUCGAGCGAGAAAGGGUAGCAAUACCCGAGUAAAGCGGCAAACUGGUUAGUAACAGGUGGGCAAUGUGCCCCGAAGUGGGGGAUAACUCCGAGAAAUCGGAACUAAUACCGCAUAUGGCCGUCGGGACUUCGGUCCGGACGGUUAAAGGCUUUGGUCGCUUCGGGAUCGGCCCGCCCCGGAUUAGCUUGUUGGCGAGGUAACGGCUCACCAAGGCGACGAUCCGAGCUGGUCUGAGAGGAUGGUCAGCAACACUGGAACUGAGAUACGGUCCAGACUCCUACGGGGGGCAGCAGUCUAGAGGCUUCGGCAAUGGGGGAAACCCUGACCGAGCGACGCCGCGUGUGGGAUCGAAGGCGUUUUCGUUGUAAACCACUGU